GACGAACGCUGGCGGCGUGCUUAACACAUGCCAGUCGAACGGAAAGGCCCUGCUUUUGUGGGGUGCUCGAGUGGCGAACGGGUGAGUAACACGUGAGUAACCUGCCCUUGACUUUGGGAUAACUUCAGGAAACUGGGGCUAAUACCGGAUAGGAGCCCCCGCUGCAUGGUGGGGGUUGGAAAGUUUCGGCGGUUGGGGAUGGACUCGCGGCUUAUCAGCUUGUUGGUGGGGUAGUGGCUUACCAAGGCUUUGACGGGUAGCCGGCCUGAGAGGGUGACCGGCCACAUUGGGACUGAGAUACGGCCCAGACUCCUACGGGAGGCAGCAGUGGGGAAUAUUGCACAAUGGGCGGAAGCCUGAUGCAGCAACGCCGCGUGCGGGAUGACGGCCUUCGGGUUGUAAACCGCUUUCGCCUGCGACGAAGCGUGAGUGACGGUAAUGGGUAAAGAAGCACCGGCUAACUACGUG
rnacentral:rRNA from 1 species